rfam:Pontibacillus chungwhensis BH030062 contig13, whole genome shotgun sequence.
CCGAUCCUGAUGUGUACGUCAUCCAACAAUCGUUUUGACCGAACAUUUUGAACUACGGGAGCUUGAAGUUUCUGUAAGGCAUGCAAGCCUUGUUUCACUUACUUAGAGGACGCAUAAAUUACAGAACAAAGCACCCACUUGCCAAGAGCGGGGUUCAAAACAUUGGACUGUGACGGCACGAUUGGGAUUGGC